rnacentral:rRNA from 1 species
UGGGGAAUUUAGGACAAUGGGGGAAACCCUGAUCCAGCCAUCCCGCGUGUGCGAUGAAGGCCUUCGGGUUGUAAAGCACUUUUGGCAGGAAAGAAACGUCAUGGGUUAAUACCCCGUGAAACUGACGGUACCUGCAGAAUAAGCACCGGCUAACUACGUGCCAGCAGCCGCGGUAAUACGUAGGGUGCAAGCGUUAAUCGGAAUUACUGGGCGUAAAGCGUGCGCAGGCGGUUCGGAAAGAAAGAUGUGAAAUCCCAGAGCUCAACUUUGGAACUGCAUUUUUAACUACCGGGCUAGAGUGUGUCAGAGGGAGGUGGAAUUCCGCGUGUAGCAGUGAAAUGCGUAGAUAUGCGGAGGAACACCGAUGGCGAAGGCAGCCUCCUGGGAUAACACUGACGCUCAUGCACGAAAGCGUGGGGAGCAAACAGG